UACCAGCACCCCGAGUGGUCGGGACGUUUAUUGGGCCUAAAGCAUCCGGUAGCCGGUUCUACAAGUCUUCCGUUAAAUCCAACUGCUUAACAGGUGGGCUGCGGAAGAUACUAUAGAGCUAGGAGGCGGGAGAGGCAAGCGGUACUCGAUGGGUAGGGGUAAAAUCCGUUGAUCCAUUGAAGACCACCAGUGGCGAAGGCGGCUUGCCAGAACGCGCUCGACGGUGAGGGAUGAAAGCUGGGGGAGCAAACCGG
rnacentral:rRNA from 1 species